rnacentral:misc_RNA from 1 species
AGUGUCAUAUUGUCAAUCGUGUUUUGUAAUUUUGAUUUGUUUUGGCGGGCGUUCACAAAAGUAAAGAUUUGCUAUGGAUCCAAGCAAAGUAUUUGCGAAAAUAAAAGAGCUUGGACAUGUAAAUGCCAAACGCGAAGAGCUACGUGAAUACUGCCAACUUAAAAUCGAACAGAUAUUAAAGUUUCUGCCUCGACGUAUUGUAAGCAGUGAUGGCGGGGAUCUUCUCAAUUGUAUAUUCAAUGGAUUUCCAGAUACUGCUUGCAAAAACAAAGUUAAGGUUGUUGACAUAGUACUCCAGACCAUGAGAAAGGAGUCCACAUCACUCACUCAUUGCGGAGAUGUUACAAGCCGACUUUGCCUGGAGCUACCGAGGUUGCCCGUAGAUGAUCUAGUGAGAUGGUCCAGUGACUGUGUGCAGUCUAUUGUCAAUGAUAGUGAUGUUAAUAUGAUUUGGCGAGAUGUCCUACCAGAAUGCAUCAACGCCAUAUGCUCGUAUGACAUGAUAAAGCACUGCGGGUCAGAGCUAACUACCACAGAGUAUAAAGAGCAGUGCAUCCACACUCUAUGCCAGUGUCGCUGGACUGAGCGCCAGCUUGUGCAACUGGCUGCUAUGUUCAAGGAUAUGCAGCUAUCGCGCAAUGACCACAAGCAGGUCGUGAAUAAGAUAUGUUCUUAUAUCAUAGACAUACCGCCAGACACCCUGCCUCCUCUAGUUCAUCAGUUACUCAAACUGUGCAAGACGUACCACUUGGAGCUGGUGCUGUCACACCUGAGCCACUACUUCAGCGUGCGGCUGUACAGCAAGCUGGAGCCGCCGCCGCAGGACUCCGAGUCCACCACCAUCGAUAUUGAUGACAUUGUGCCCCACAGUUCAGCAGAACUGAGCCGCUGUCUAUCCACCUGCAUCUACCACAUAUCGCAAGGUGCUGCCGACCCCGAGCUGGUCCGCAAGCAUAUCAGGCUGUGGCCGAAGACACAACUGCUGAGGGCUCCAUUCAUCAUAGACCUGGCGUUAGCUAUGUCUGAUAAGGGUGCUGAUUUUAGAUCUGUUUGUUUGGAUGUAAUAAGAACAACGCUAGAACAUCGCGCGAUGGAUGACCUGAGAGCGAAGGAGAGCGCGUGGGUCCGCGCCGUCACGCCGCCCGACGUCGACGUCGUCAGUGUACUCAAACUUAUCACUACUGAGAGUGCCAACCACAGACAGCUAACCGUAGUUGGUCUCAUCAACCUUGCGUUCCUCCUUCUCUCCGUCUCCCGUCUCAAGCCUGUCGCCCAAACGUGCUGGUCACACGGCAAGCUGAUCCUGGUGCGGCUCAGCAAGGCACAGCCGGAGACAGCGGGCCACAUACUGAGCCAGCUGGCCGACAAGCUGUGCAGCGAUACUACGCAGCGCCAGUAUGCAGACUGCCUCUACGUCCUCUGCAAGUUGACCCCCGUGUCAGUGGAGCGCUGUACUCAAUUGGGCACGAUACUCGAGAACUGCCAGCCGUCACCUACAGACUACAGGGCUGCAGCAUCAGUCCUGGAUGCCGUACAUCCACUCCUCAACUUCAGUACGAGGACCAGAGAUACCUUGGUUAUGGUGUGCCGGAAAGGACUUUAUUCUAGGGACUCCCAACACCGUUGCCUUGCGCUAUCAGGCUUCCUGUCAGUGCUGCGUCACGUGCGCGUGAGUGCCUCAGUGACUAGCAGUCAGAGCUACAGUGAUCAGUACAGCGCACACUCCUACCUCACUCAGCUCACCGUGGAUUUGCAUGCUACGCAUCAGGGGAAUGUUGUAACAUCACGAGUGCGGAACGAGGCGAUGUGUAUGGAGGUGGUGUCCAUACUGCGACGAUGUCUUGUACAGGACGCGCUCGUCAAACAGUUGCUUUAUACCAAAAUCUACGAGUGCGCGAAAGACAAGCAGUCGCUCCACGAGUCUAUCUUGGAGCUGCUGUAUGAGCACCUGAGCAAGUUCCUGCCCGAGGGCGACAGAGUAUCCUCCUUGCUGCUCAACAAGUGUGUGCAGAUUAAUGGCGUUACUGCUGUAUUAACUGAGCCCAUAGCCCAUCUUCUCUACGCCGUCGCCCAGUUCAUCCAACCUGGUGAGGAGGAGGAUCUGGAAGACAUCCUCGCCAGCCAGUCCGUGGAGACAGGCACAGCUUACCUGAAGAGUAAGCUGGGCAGGAUACUGCAGCAGCUGUGUGAUGCUGACCAGUUCUUUAGUGUUGAUUUGGAAGAUUCCAGCCUCAGUGACAUAACAUCAGAAUCCAAAGCAAAAUGCCUGAAAGUGCAGCAAAUGCUACAAUGUUACGAAACUCUGAUAGGUCAUACGAUCAUGCAGUGGAGUACCACUAGUAAAGAUGUGGCUAAUAAGGUGUAUAAGCUGUUUAAAGCGAGUAAUCAGCUAUUGGAACAGACUAAGGUAGUACCAAAAGCAAAUAAAAAAGGGAACAAAUCUCUAAACGAGACUAGAGAGACAGUAAAAUCUCAGAAGAGUCAGAAAUCACAGAAGUCACAGAAGGAGAAGGGCAAAGCUCCCGUCAAGUUGUCCAACUUAGUCAAGGAUAAGGCGGGGCCUUUCAAACCUCUGCCGUGUUUGUGGGACACCAAGAUGUGCUAUAGGGUCAUUGAACUUUUGUAUGGGGAUAACGUACCAUGGUCCUCAUUAGACCAGCGCAAUCAACUCCGUGCUCGCCGCGACUUUCACAUUUGGGCACUGCGAUGCAUCCACUCAGUGCUACUCAGCGAUCACUUGGAGAAGAAGGCUGUAGCCACGCACGUGGUCAGCAUAGCCACUGUCCUGUACAACUGCUGUGUCCGUAGGUUUCAAGAUAUGUGUGAGUUCGACGAUCAGACCGCGGUGGCAUGUUUGGAAGUGUUCAAGACUUGUCUCACUCUGCUGUUCUCGCCUCUCUACUCGCUCAAGAUGGACUCUUUCUUGACGUCUAUAACGGAUAACACCGACAAGACAGGAGCAGAAUGCCUAUCAAUAAUUCUAGAAAACAUCCACGUGGCCUUCCUACAUAUAGAAGAGGAUAGUAUUCCUGAUGAGAGAGAUGUUAUAGUGAAGAAACAGCUCGGGGUACUCAUACAGAUAGCCUCGUUGUUGUUGGAGACACCUACUGUUUCUUGCCCGCAGAAGACUAGGAUCUUAGUAAAACUAGAAGACUACAUCCGUACCAGCAAGCAAGACUGUCUCCCACUAAUAGGACCGUUGCUGACGUCAUCGUACAGUGAACAGCAAGAAGCCACGCUAUUGGACGAGUUGAUCGCUAAACUGUCCUGUGCUUUGGGGAGGAUUGAUGAAGAAGACACAUCAGCAGGCGAGGACACGAACAGCUUCUUCACGAUAGACGCCCGCACUGGACAUACAGUACUCACCACUAUAUGCGACCACUUGGCCGUCAGGGCUAAAGGCGUGGAACAUUUGUUGGGAAGAGCAAGGGAUCUUACGGUCGCUGUGAACACUGCUGCUCAUGCUGCUCAGCAGAGGAUUGAAAGAGAAAUAACAGAAGUAUACAAGUCAAUUAUAGUGCAGCUAUGCCAGAUAACUACAUGGACAGCUUCAUGCUGCAAGCUGCGGUGCUGCGUGGGCGGCGGCAGCGGGCGCGUGCUGGGCGGCGCCGUGCGGCUGUACGUGCUGCUGGCCACCCUCGCCAAGCAGGCCGAGCCCGCUCCCGCUGCUGCUGUGCGGUGAGUAGUGUAGCAGGGUAUGCUAUACCCGGCGCCGUGCGGCUGUACGUGCUGCUGGCCGCCCUCGCCAAGCAGGCCGAGCCCGCUCCCGCUGCUGCUGUGCGAUUCGAGCGCCUCCUGAAACUAAGCGGCAAGAAGCUGUCAACAGUAAUGGACAACUUGAUCACGUACUUAGAGGCGUCGCAACAACAGCAGAACGCGAGCAAAGUGCUGCGAGAGACUAAGCUUAUACCGCGGC